rnacentral:rRNA from 1 species
CUACGUGCCAGCAGCCGCGGUAAUACGGAAGGUCCAGGCGUUAUCCGGAUUUAUUGGGUUUAAAGGGAGUGUAGGCGGUCUGUUAAGCGUGUUGUGAAAUUUAGGUGCUCAACAUCUACCUUGCAGCGCGAACUGGCGGACUUGAGUGCACGCAACGUAUGCGGAAUUCAUGGUGUAGCGGUGAAAUGCUUAGAUAUCAUGACGAACUCCGAUUGCGAAGGCAGCGUACGGGAGUGUUACUGACGCUUAAGCUCGAAGGUGCGGGUAUCGAACAGGAUUAGAUACCCUGGUAGUCCGCACGGUAAACGAUGGAUGCCCGCUGUUAGCGCCUGGCGUUAGCGGCUAAGCGAAAGCAUUAAGCAUCCCACCUGGGGAGUACGCCGGCAACGGUGAAACUCAAAGGAAUUGACGGGGGCCCGCACAAGCGGAGGAACAUGUGGUUUAAUUCGAUGAUACGCGAGGAACCUUACCCGGGCU